rnacentral:rRNA from 1 species
AGCUCUCUAAGUGUAAAUCGUUAUUGUUGCGGUUAAAAAGCUCGUAGUUGGAUUUAUGGUGGAUAGUGUGCGUUCGCUCAUUCGGGCGUCAAUGCACACGCCAUCAUUUCGGCAGUCUGCGCUAUGUGCGAAAGUACAUACGUGACUGUCAAGUUUACCUUAAAUAAAUUAAAAUGCUCAAAAUAAGCGUAUGCUUGAAUAUCAUAUUAUGGAAUAAUAAAAUAGGACUUCGGUUCUUUUUGUUGGUUAUUGAAUCGGAGUAAUGAUUAAUAGGGAUAAUCUCGGGGGCAUUCGUAUUUCUGCGGGAGAGGUGAAAUUCUAUGAUCGCAGAAGGACGCCCUAAAGCGAAAGCAUUUGCCAAGAAUGUCUUCG